GAACAGCUCAAAUUUGAAAUCUGGCCCUCGGGUCCGAGUUGUAAUUUGUAGAGGAUGCUUUUGGUGCGGUGCCUUCCGAGUUCCCUGGAACGGGACGCCUUAGAGGGUGAGAGCCCCGUACGGUUGGACGCCUAGCCUCUGUAAAGCUCCUUCGACGAGUCGAGUAGUUUGGGAAUGCUGCUCUAAAUGGGAGGUAUAUUUCUUCUAAAGCUAAAUACUGGCCAGAGACCGAUAGCGCACAAGUAGAGUGAUCGAAAGAUGAAAAGCACUUUGAAAAGAGGGUUAAAUAGCACGUGAAAUUGUUGAAAGGGAAGCGUUUAUCACCAGACUUUUUCUAGGGGGAUCAUCCGGUGUUCUCACCGGUGCACUUCCCCUAGUUGAGGCCAGCAUCGGUUUUCGGAGGGGGAUAAAAGUUUCGGGAAUGUGACUCCCCCGGGAGUGUUAUAGCCCGUUACAUAAUACCCUUCUGGGGACCGAGGUUCGCGCAUCUGCAAGGAUGCUGGCAUAAUGGUGAUCAACGACCCGUCUUGAAACACGGACCAAGGAGUCGAACAUUUAUGCGAGUGUUUGGGUGUCAAACCCUCACGCGUAAUGAAAGUGAACGGAGGUGAGAGCCCUUACGGGUGCAUCAUCGACCGAUCCUGAUGUCUUCGGAUGGAUUUGAGUAAGAGCAUAACUGUUCGGACCCGAAAGAUGGUGAACUAUGCGUGGAUAGGGUGAAGCCAGGAGAAAUCCUGGUGGAGGCUCGCAGCGGUUCUGACGUGCAAAUCGAUCGUCAAAUCUGCGCAUGGGGGCGAAAGACUAAUC
rnacentral:rRNA from 1 species